AGUGGCGGACGGGUGAGUAACGCGUGAGAAUCUACCCUCAGGAUGGGGACAACAGUUGGAAACGACUGCUAAUACCCGAUGUGCCGAGAGGUGAAACUUAUAUGGCCUGAGGAAGAGCUCGCGUCUGAUUAGCUAGUUGGUGGGGUAAGAGCCUACCAAGGCGACGAUCGGUAGCUGGUCUGAGAGGAUGAUCAGCCACACUGGGACUGAGACACGGCCCAGACUCCUACGGGAGGCAGCAGUGGGGAAUUUUCCGCAAUGGGCGAAAGCCUGACGGAGCAAGACCGCGUGAGGGAGGAAGGCCUACUGGUUGUAAACCUCUUUUGAUAGGGAAGAAGAAAGUGACGGUACCUAUCGAAUCAGCAUCGGCUAACUCCGUGCCAGCAGCCGCGGUAAUACGGAGGAUGCAAGCGUUAUCCGGAAUUAUUGGGCGUAAAGCGUCCGUAGGUGGUUAUUCAAGUCAGCUGUCAAAGGAUGGAGCUUAACUCCAUAAAGGCAGUUGAAACUGUGUAGCUAGAGUGCGAUAGGGGCAAGGGGAAUUCCCAGUGUAGCGGUGAAAUGCGUAGAUAUUGGGAAGAACAUCGGUGGCGAAAGCGCCUUGCUGGGUCUGCACUGACACUGAGGGACGAAAGCUAGGGGAGCGAAAGGGAUUAGAUACCCCUGUAGUCUUAGCUGUAAACGAUGGAUACUAGGCGUU
rnacentral:rRNA from 1 species